GUGUCAGCAGCCGCGGUAAUACGAAGGGGGCGAGCGUUAUUCGGAAUCACUGGGCGUAAAGCGUGCGUAGGCGGUCUUGUAAGUUAGGAGUGAAAGCCCAGGGCUUAACCUUGGAAUUGCUCUUAAAACUGCAAGGCUAGAAUCUCGGAGAGGAUAGCGGAAUUUCCAGUGUAGCAGUGAAAUGCGUAGAUAUUGGAAGGAACACCAGUGGCGUAAGCGGCUAUCUGGACGAGUAUUGACGCUGAGGCACGAAAGCGUGGGGAUCAAACAGGAUUAGAUACCCUGGUAGUCC
rnacentral:rRNA from 1 species